CAGUAGCCACGGUAAUACGGAGGGUGCAAGCGUUAAUCGGAAUUACUGGGCGUAAAGCGCACGCAGGCGGUCUGUCAAGUCAGAUGUGAAAUCCCCGGGCUUAACCUGGGAACUGCAUUUGAAACUGGCAGGCUAGAGUCUUGUAGAGGGGGGUAGAAUUCCAGGUGUAGCGGUGAAAUGCGUAGAGAUCGGGAGGAACAUCAGUGGCGAAGGCGGCCAUCUGGGACAACACUGACGCUGAGGCACGAAAGCGUGGGGAGCAAACAGGAUUAGAUACCCGAGUAGUCCCUGUCUCUUAUAC
rnacentral:rRNA from 1 species